rnacentral:lncRNA from 1 species
GAAUAAAAAUUAAUUCGUUCUGAAUCUAUCCCGAUCCGACAAGAAAUGGAGCGGGAGGUGAGAGAUCUCUCCCACCCCCGAAUCCGCCGGCAAGGAUAUAUAAUAUGUAUUAAUCUUUAUUUGGGAUUAAAGAAAAAUUACUUUACGUACAAUGAAAAAAUAUGAUAAAAAAUAUUAUAUUUAUUUCCAUACGUAAUAAUACGUAAUGUUUUAAAAAUCGGGUUGAACAUCUAUAAAAUAUUGCUAAGUUAAGGAUCACUAGUUCAACCAGUGGGUCAA